UACAGAUUUUUGAUUUUUGAUUUAUGUGAAAUUUAUUUCGGUUAAAAAUUAAAUGGAUAGCUUUGGAUAAAUUAAUGAAUAGUAAAAAAAGGAUGAGUAUAUCUAAUGUUUUCUUAAUAAGAGUUAUAAACGAAUGAUUUAUUUAUUCUUUUAUCACGAGAAAAGUUAUAUAUACAUGACUUAUCUCAUAAAAAAUUCAUGCUUUUUACGAUAAAUAUCAGAUAAUUAAAAUUAAUAAUAGCUGGAUGAUCAUCCGAUAUCUCGUAUUAACAUUGAAAGCUCGUGAAAUUCGAUUCGACUUCGAUGUGGAAGAAAUAUGCCACCCGGUGUGUAAAGUUCGUCAUAAGAUACCCAGAGCACCGUUUAAACGCGAAUGCUCGUGAAGCUGGGACACGUUUUCGCUUUAUGACGCUUAAUCGUCGCUUAAGCAGCGCGUUGAACUUCCAGUUUCCAACACACUCAAUGACGAUUGCAAAAGGAUCACAAGUUUUACGAAGUUUUCUUUACGACUCAACGCGAGAAGUGACUUCGUGAUUGCUUCUUCGGUAGAACCCGAUCUUCCACCGAGGAAGAAUGUCGUACAAGGCGAGUUCUCGUAAAAACUAGUACCUGUUCUCGUAAGCGUCUCAGGAACCGGAUUUUCAUUGGCACACCCUAUAUAAGGACACGUUUACGCACAAUUAUACGAGAAAAGUACUCCUUUCGAAAUAUGUAUGUAUAUCUGCCCCAUCGAAUGAAUUUUCUAUAUUGCCAUCUUGCAAAAGCGUAUAAAACAAUGUUAACAAAAGAAUAUUGACAUAUGCGAUAUCGAAGGAUAGAUGCGAAUAUUCUAGUUAUUGAGAGCACUGCAUUUCGAAAGCAGAAAAUGCUGUACAUUGUGUUUGGUAAAAAAUUAUGAAAGAACAGUAAAAACGAAAAUAUACGUUUGUAUGCCGAAUUUCGGUGAACUUUUUGAUGAAUUUGUUUGACGUUCUAGCUAUGUUUGAUGCGGCUAUGGGCUCGUAUCCGAUAUUACUCAUUUUUCAAGUAUAACUAUGCGAACGAUGUUUCCGAGAGGAAUUUCAAUUAAAUUUUUACACCGUGUCCAUUGUUCAUCGAACCCAAUAGCGACGCAAUUAAUAUGCAUUUUUCUAGUUAGAUAUUUUUCUGCUACUGGUAAUAAUUUAAAAAACAAAAAAAAAAUAACAUAUAAUAUUUAUAUAUGAAACUUUGAAAUUCAUACUUUCCUUGCAAAUUAUCAAUGCAAGAGAAAGAGCAUGAAGAAUGGCAUAUCGGACGCCAUUUUUUAUUCAAUUAAUUUUUUUCACGAAAGGACUCAUAAUUUGAUUUUUCUAUCUCUCACUCUCUUCCCCACUUUUUCUUUUUCUUUUUUCUUUUUUUUUUCUUUUUUUGUUUAAAGUGAAAUAAUACAUUCUACAUAUACAUAUUCAAUUUUUAUUUCCAAUUGUAUUUGUUUUUUCUUCCUUUUUUGAAUAUAUCCAUCACAUACUUUUCUCUGUAAUUCCGUAACUAUAGAAACUCUCUCAACCAUGAACUCCUUUCAAUUUGAUUCGAAGCCAUCUUUUGUAAAGCGAACUGCAUUUAACUCGCUCAAAAAUGCGUUCCUUUUGUGCCACAACUCUUGGAUAAAUUACCGUGAAAAUUCUUCGAUAAAAAAGAAAGGCUUCUCUUGCAAAAGAAAUAGUCUUUAUAAAAUGGAACCUUUUACCAAAGUGUUUACACACACACACAUGCACGUACACAAGUAGAUAUAUAUGCAUAUGGUUAAUUCAAUAAAACAAAGUUUUUCUUUUCUACCAUGAAAACAGCUUUUUUUCUUUUCUCGUAGGAAAACUCUUUCUAAGUGAUUUAAAAAAAUUUGUACUAUUUUCUAAUGAAUUUUCAUACAUUUGUAUGAAAUGCAAAUUAAUAUUUUCAUUAAUUUAAAAAAAAAUUUAUUUUAACUAUAGAAUUACAAUUUGUUUAAUCUUUUUACUUAUUGUAAUAGUCAUUGUUCAAAAAAUUCAAUUAUGUAUAAAUUAUUCUCAUAUUUCUUCAAAUUUAUAACACAAGUUCGUUUCGUUCUUCCAUAUCUUUCAUUAGUUGCCUUUUUUCAUCUCUAGCUUAUCUCUUAUACACCCACGAGAAAAUAUCUCAUAUAAGAGAAAGAGAAAAGGUAAAGAAUAACGAAAGAAGGGAAUUAGAACGCUCGUAAGUUCAAAGAAUGAAACUUCCACUCUCCGACGGAAUGAUAACCCAACAAUUAAAAAAAAGAACUAAAAAAAGCAAUCCCAACGAUAUAUCGUGAAAAAAUUUUAAUUAGAUUUUUUCAUUCGAUGAUAGAACCAGUAUAAUUAAAUGUAAGUGUGUGUGUGUAAUAUAUAUAUAUAUAUAUAUAUAUAUAUAUAUAUAUAUAUAUUCAUACGUUCGUAAAUAAAAACGAUGUCUCUAGAGCGAAAAUUUACAGAACGUAUCGACGAUGUUCGUUGUACUACAUCGCUCUAAUUAUAUUGUUCACUUACGAUCGUCAUCGACCGUAUAAACGAUGAAAGUUUCGUAAAUAAUAAACUUUGAAAUAACUUGCUUGCAAUACAUGAUCCUGAUUUAAGUAGAGCUCAUCGAGGAAGGAUUCAGAUCAUUAAACAACUAAAGUAAAAUUACAUUGGAAGAAAAUCUAAUUUCCAGAUAAAGAAUUAUCAUUAUUUAUGUUCCUUUCACUUCUAUUUUGAUCGUCGAAAAAAUCACAUUUACAAACGUACUAAAAUCGCCUAACUUAUUUUUUUGUAACAAUAAAUAGAAGAAAAGAAAAAAAGCAUAAGAAAUAUAAAACGAAAUGUUCCUUCAACGCCAUUCUCAAUUCCUUUUCGUCUUUCCUCGUCAAAAAUGUAGGUACCGAACGAAGUUUCUUGUCGAUUUAUUGUCGACUUUAUUGGCCCGUAAAGUAUGCCAUUGAGGAACGUUCACUUGAAGAGAUGAUUUUUGCGAAAAAAGAGAAUAAAAGGUAGAAAAGGUAAAUCGGAUAAGGUAGUUUCUCAGGACUCAUUGUGAGUUGCUUAAACUUUAUAAUUUUGUGGUGCUGUGACAGAUUACUGAUAAUAUCGACCUAGGCUAUAUAGACAUGUACUAAAUAAGUAUGUACACAGAAGUAUAUAAGAACAUUUUUAACAGAAAUAGGAAGAGGUAAACAAAGAUAGUCGCAAUAAAUUACUCGGUUAAGCGGCGACAAUAUACGAUGGCGUUUGAAAACUAGAGAGGGUCGUCCUGAAAAGCAAGAAGAAGUUUGCUCGAUGAGUCCUCGGCUUUCCUGGACCAGGUCAAACGAACGAAACGUUAUAGAGGAAUACGAGUGAAUAGUAAGAGGAGGAGUGGAAAGGGGUGCAUACGAAGUUUGGAGGGGUCGCGACGUUUGGUUCUACGCAAACCAUACGUACGUACAUCUAGUAAGUGUGUUCUUCUCUUUCAUCUAACCCUCCUAACGGCCUUUGACGAUCCACGGAUAAGACAAAUAUUUGCUCUGCUGGAUAAAUAGUUGAUGACUACGAGUACGUAUAUAUGUAUAUUUGUAUAGACGUACUCAGCUAAAGCUCGAAAUAUUUUGAUUAAUAACGGUUGAAAAUUUUCUUUCUUUUUUAUCACUUGCCUUUUGUCUUCUUUUCUCUUUUUCGUAUGAACGCCAAUAGUUCUGAAAAUUGGGGUUAUUGAAAUAGAUAAGCUUAAUAGUGA